GUGGGGAAUUUUGGACAAUGGGGGCAACCCUGAUCCAGCGACGCCGCGUGGAGGAUGAAGGUCUUCGGAUUGUAAACUCCUUUUAGAGGGGAAGAAUGCUUCGGUGAAUAGCCGGAGGUGACGGUACCCUCGGAAUAAGCCACGGCUAACUUCGUGCCAGCAGCCGCGGUAAUACGAAGGUGGCAAGCGUUACUCGGAAUUACUAGGCGUAAAGCGCAAGUAGGCGGUUCGGUAAGUCUUUUGUGAAAGCUCCCGGCUUAACUGGGAGAGGCCAAGGGAAACUGCCGGGCUCGAGUGUGGUAGAGGAAGCUGGAAUUCCCGGUGUAGCGGUGAAAUGCGUAGAGAUCGGGAGGAAUACCUAUGGCGAAAGCAGGCUUCUGGGCCAUCACUGACGCUGAGUUGCGAAAGCUAGGGGAGCAAACAGGAUUAGAUACCCCGGUAGUCC
rnacentral:rRNA from 1 species